rnacentral:misc_RNA from 1 species
GCAGAUUCUGGCAAUUACUGCUGUCUGUUCAUCCUCUGGCAACUAAAUUAAAAUAUUCAGUGGGAUGAAUUUCUUCAUACAAUGUUUUCUUCAUAUGUAAAUUUCGGGGACUAAGUCAUGAGCUUUGUAGCAUUUUAUUUCAUUUCAUUAGGAUACACACUUUUAUCUCUCUUGAUUUCACUUGUCAAGCCAAAUACAUGGGCG